rnacentral:rRNA from 1 species
UGACUGAGUGGCGGACGGGUGAGUAACGCGUGGGUAACCUGCCCUGUACAGGGGGACAACAGUUAGAAAUGACUGCUAAUACCGCAUAAGCGCACAGGACCGCACGGUCCGGUGUGAACAACUCCGGUGGUACAGGAUGGACCCGCGUCUGAUUAGGUAGUUGGCGGGGUAACGGCCCACCAAGCCGACGAUCAGUAGCCGACCUGAGAGGGUGACCGGCCACAUUGGGACUGAGACACGGCCCAAACUCCUACGGAAGGCAGCAG